rnacentral:rRNA from 1 species
GUUUAGUUGCUAACAGGUGAAGCUGAGCACUCUAGACGAACUGCCGUUGACAAAACGGAGAAGGUGGGGAGUGACGUCAAAUCAUCAUGCCCCUUAUGUUCUGGGCUACACACGUGCUACAAUGGCCGGUACAGACGGAGGCGAAGCCGCGAGGCGGAGCAAAUCCGAAAAAGCCGGUCUCAGUUCGGAUUGCAGGCUGCAAUUCGCCUACAUGAAGUCGGAAUCGCUAGUAAUCGCGGAUCAGCACGCCGCGGUGAAUACGUUCCCGGGCCUU